rnacentral:rRNA from 1 species
AAGGUAGCGAAAUUCCUUGUCGGGUAAGUUCCGACCUGCACGAAUGGCGUAACGAUUUGGGCGCUGUCUCAACCAUGGACCCGGUGAAAUUGUAUUAUUCGUGAAGAUGCGAAUUACCUGCGGAAGGACGGAAAGACCCCGUGAACCUUUACUGCAGCUUGACAUUGGUCGUUGGCUCGGCGCGUAGAGGAUAGGCAGGAGGCUUCGAAGCGGGGACGCCAGUUCCCGUGGAGCCGGCCUUGGAAUACUGCCCUCGUCGUGUCGGCGACCUAACCUGUGGCCGUGAUCCGGCACAGGGACCGUGUCAGGCGGGUAGUUUGACUGGGGCGGUCGCCUCCCAAAAUGUAACGGAGGCGCGCAAAGGUCCGCUCAGGACGGUCGGCAACCGUCCCGAGAGCGCAAGAGUGCAAGCGGGCUUGACUGCGAGGGCCACAACCCGAGCAGGUGCGAAAGCAGGUUCUAGUGAUCCGGCGGCCCAGAGUGGAAUGGCCGUCGCUCAACGGAUAAAAGGUACUCCGGGGAUAACAGGCUGAUCUUGCCCAAGAGUCCACAUCGACGGCAAGGUUUGGCACCUCGAUGUCGGCUCAUCGCAUCCUGGGGCUGAAGUCGGUCCCAAGGGUACGGCUGUUCGCCGUUUAAAGCGGUACGCGAGCUGGGUUCAGAACGUCGUGAGACAGUUCGGUCCCUAUCCUCCGCAGGCGCAAGAAGAUUGAGGAGAUCUGCCCCUAGUACGAGAGGACCGGGGUGGACGGACCUCUGGUGACGCGGUUGUCGACCAACGGCACCGCCGCCUAGCUACGUCCGGCACGGAUAACCGCUGAAAGCAUCUAAGUGGGAAGCCGUCUCCAAGAUGAGUCUUCUCUUUGGUAAGGGCCCAGGUAGACUACCUGGUCGAUAGGGCGCAGCUGCAAGCACGGCAACGUGUUCAGGCGAGCGCUACUAAUAGCCCGAGCUCUUCUUCACAA